AAGAGAUUAUUUUUAGACAAGGAAUUUUUUUUUUUUACUAUUUGUCUAUCCUUUUUAAUCUAUGAACCAUAUCUUAUGCUUGUCAGUGUAAAGUGUACAGGUUAUAUUUCUGGUUUAAGGAAAUUUGUUUAAAGGUAACUAUUUUGUUAUGAUCUUCAAAGUAUAAAUCUGUAAUGACAUAUCAAACCUACAGUAUGAGGGCUAAACUGAGGGAUGCAAACAUAUUAAAUGUAUUAAUCUAGCUAAGCUUUAACAGAUUCAUGUAUGCAGUAUAGUGUUCAGGGAAAGAAAUACUGGCACAAAUUGACGGCAGAGUUCACGAGUUCACUUAUCAGAAAUAAGUUAAAACGUAUUUUAUUUCAUUUCAAGUAUAACCAGACAACAGCAUAAAUUUCACAGAUUGAUGUGUUUUGGUACAUGUUGUCUGCCAUUUUAAUUUUUUUUCAUCUUUUUUUUACUAAAAAACAGUCAAGUAAACAGAUUUAUUUUGGACAGUCAAGUGGACAUAAAGCUUCCAAAAAGAGAAAAUAUAAGCAGUGGAUGCAAUACACAAACUAGCUAUUUAUAUAAUAAACAAUCCAAACCCUCAUGCUAGGGUGAUUUAGUUAUUUUGAUGAUAUCUACCUGCACUCGAUGAAUGUCCGUUCAGCAUUUUCUGCCGCCGUAUUUCUGAACAGCGAAUGAAAGAUUUUUAGAAGCACAUUUUCAGUCCUACAUACCUUUUUAUUUUUGGUUUGCUUAAUUUAAAAGCAAAAUUAACCAAACCGAUCAAUUCCAUCUCCACAAAAUUAUGUGUGAAUGCUCACCAGAUCCUGAUUUCUUUUAAGCUUGUAUUGUAAAGCAUGGAUGUCCUGAUAUUUGUUGACAAUUAAAAGAUGUUACAUUGACACAAAAAAAACCUAGUUCAACAAAUUAGUUUUAGUGCCUAAUACAUCUCUCUCUGAUUGGCCAUAAUCUCAUUUAUGAACCAUAUCAUUGUUAGAGAUGUACUAAAGAUUCAUACAGGAUCAUAAUAUAAUUGUGAUUCGAUAUUGCCUCAGUGCUCUCUAGAGUUAGUCAAACCUGCAGCAUGAUUAUUUGCUCUCUCUGAGUCUGUUUCUGUGAAAUGAUCAAUGGCCUUAUUUUCCUUUAGCAGCAACUUUAGCAAUGUCCAUGAUUAUCAGAAUAAUUUAGCUUGGUCAUGUUGCAUGUCUCCUCAUCAUGUUUGGGGGAAAAAAGCCCCCGUCACAUUGGAGUGUGUGAGUGCGGUGCUGUGAGUCGGUACUGGUCCCGACACGCUCUGCAGCUCUACAACGUGAUUGUGUUAUUUUGUAACAGCUCUAAACUGGAGCUGGGAUGCUUCAGGGACUUUAUUCCACCUCCUACACAGAUCUCAUUAUGAUUCAGCUGAGCACAAGCAAUCUUAAUACUGUUGUUAAUGCACACAGAAAAUAUACGCUGCUUUCUAGAAGUACCCCCCCCACCCCCCCUUGAACUUUUCCAUGUUUUGUAGUGUUACAACCUGGAGCUGAAAUGGACUUAACUGGGCUUUCAUGUCAUGACUCUUUAAAAAUAUAUAUAUCACAAUAAUUGAAGUGUAAAGAAAAAAACUAAUAUAGUUUGCAAUAUUAUCCAUCCAUUCAUUUUCUAUACCAUUAAUCCUACACAGGGUUGUGGGGGAGCCUGGAGCUUGGCGGGGCUAACCCAUCACAGGGCACAAUUUCACACACACAUACACUACAUACAGUUUAGAAAUGCCAAUCAGCCUACAACGCAUGUCUUUGGAAUGGGGAAAGAAACCAGAGUACUUAGAGGAAGCCCAUGGAGCACAGGGAGAGCAUGCAAGCCCCAUGUACACAGGGUGGAGGUGGGAUUCGAACCUACCAUUCCCCCCUGUUUGCAAUAUUACUUAGAAAUACAAACUGUGAUUACAGUAUUCACCAUUGCUGUGAAACACCUAAAUUUGUUCUCUGACUAUUCCCCUCAUUAGUUGUGGUUGUAUCAUAUACCUUCCGUUUUUUAAUAAUGUCUUUAAAUUGAAUAUAUACAUUUUUUUUUUAUAGCUGAUGAUUAAUUUAGGGUUAUAAGAGCAAGGGAGUGUGAAUUCUUAUAUACAAUUAAAACUUUGGCACUUUUAUUUGCAAAUUAUUUACCCCCCCCCCCCCCCCCCCCCCUUCUUUCAGUAUUAUAUGAUAUUUUGUUAGACUUAUGACAUUUUAAUCCAAAUUAAAUCCAUUUCAGUUCCUGAUUGUAACACUACAAAAUGUGUAAGUUUUUUGUUUUUCUUGGGGGGGGGGUUGUACUUAUGCACGCCACUGUAGUGACAGGAACUGUUAAUGUACCAUAUUACAUGUGAUAUAUGGUAUGUUUGACAUAUUGAUGUUGACUGUAAAUUAGGUUUUAUAUAUGAAUUUAUAGGAAAAUGAGAUGAUCUAAUGUUUUUUUGAUUUUUGUGUUUGACCCAAAAUACAACCUAUUUUAACUACAAUAUUAACGAUCUUAAGAUGAGUGUUGCUGACGAGUGUUAUCUACUGACAGUUAAACCCAGAUGGGGUUUAAAACUGCUUUUGGGUUUCCACUGAUUUAAUAUAAAAGGUUAAGGUACAUGUUUCAUCCUAUUGUUUGCUGUUGUGUGUAUUAGCCUGAUUACUGAGUCACCUCUGUGGCCCUGUAGCAGCACUCUCUACAUUCCAGAUGAUGUAGUGAUUUUCUAUGUUUCUAAAUUGUUUUUGUCAAAUUAAGUAUUCUACCUCUUAUAUACAAAUUACGAAUAUACAGAUUACAGCUGUACAGUUUCCUCCUGCAUAUACAGGGUAUGUGUGUGUGUGUGUAUAUAUAUAUAUGUAUGUAUAUAUAUAUAUAUAUAUAUAUAUAUAUAUAUAUAUAUUGCAGCAUAUAUAAAGAAUCUUAAUGAUGUUAGUGUAGCUCAGUAUUUUUACUUUUCAUGAGUAGUAAAUGGACAAAAUGAAAUGCAAAACAAUGUAUCGCUUUUUAAAAAGUAAAAAGACAACAAAAAAACAGAAUAAAAUGCUAAUUGUUUUGCACAUUUGAUGCUAAAAUGGUGUUUUGUGUUCUGUGUGUAGACAUUCACACUCCAGUACACUCCACAAAGAAUAAUCGUGUUCGCUCAUAAUUGAACGUGUUAAACGCUGUACUUUAUUGUCGUUUUCUUGUGGCUCAUUGAUCCCUCCACUGCACCACAUUCCUUCAUUUCCUUUCCAUGUGACGUGAACUAUUAAUUUAAGCUGAAGGCAAUGCUGAGCCCUUAUUAAUCAGCAAUAUAUGCACGGAGAUAUGUGAGUAAAUGGUGUCUAGGAACUUUUACAUGCAAAAUAUGGGAUUUAAUAAUGUGCUGGCUCUCUGAAAGAGCUGACUUUUUUUGUGAACGACACAUAACUUAAUCCCA
ensembl:lncRNA